rnacentral:rRNA from 1 species
UACGGGGGGAGCAAGCGUUGUUCGGAUUUACUGGGCGUAAAGGGCGCGUAGGCGGUCAGCACAAGUCAGUUGUGAAAUCCCCGGGCUCAACCUGGGAACUGCAUUUGUGACUGCAUCGCUGGAGUGCGGCAGAGGGGGAUGGAAUUCCGCGUGUAGCAGUGAAAUGCGCAGAUAUCAGGAGGAACACCGAUGGCGAAGGCAGGUCGUCUGGGCAUUAACUGACGCUGAGGAGCGAAAGCAUGGGGAGCGAACAGG